GCUGGGCAUAGCGAUGUGCACCUGUAGUUCCAAGUACUUGGGAGGCUGAGGCAAGAGGAUCACUGGAGCCCAGGAGUUUGAGGCUGCAGUGAGCUAUGAUCUUGCCACUGCAGUCCAGCCUGGGCAAUAGAGUGAGACCCUGUCUCAG
rnacentral:SRP_RNA from 2 species